rnacentral:rRNA from 1 species
GACAGAGGGUGCAAACGUUGCUCGGAAUUACUGGGCGUAAAGCGCGUGUAGGCGGUUUCGCAAGUCAGGUGUGAAAGCCCGGGGCUCAACCCCGGAAGUGCACUUGAUACUGCGGAGCUGGAGUACUGAAGAGGAGAGCGGAAUUCCCGGUGUAGAGGUGAAAUUCGUAGAUAUCGGGAGGAACACCUGUGGCGAAAGCGGCGCACUGGACCAUAACUGACGCUGAGGCGCGAAAGCUAGGGGAGCAAACAGG